GGGUUGUGAGGUUAAGCGACUAAGCGUACACGGUGGAUGCCCUGGCAGUCAGAGGCGAUGAAGGACGUGCUAAUCUGCGAUAAGCGUCGGUAAGGUGAUAUGAACCGUUAUAACCGGCGAUUUCCGAAUGGGGAAACCCAGUGUGAUUCGUCACACUAUCAUUAACUGAAUCCAUAGGUUAAUGAGGCGAACCGGGGGAACUGAAACAUCUAAGUACCCCGAGGAAAAGAAAUCAACCGAGAUUCCCCCAGUAGCGGCGAGCGAACGGGGAGGAGCCCAGAGCCUGAAUCAGUGUGUGUGUUAGUGGAAGCGUCUGGAAAGGCGCGCGAUACAGGGUGACAGCCCCGUACACAAAAAUGCACAUAUUGUGAGCUCGAUGAGUAGGGCGGGACACGUGGUAUCCUGUCUGAAUAUGGGGGGACCAUCCUCCAAGGCUAAAUACUCCUGACUGACCGAUAGUGAACCAGUACCGUGAGGGAAAGGCGAAAAGAACCCCGGCGAGGGGAGUGAAAAAGAACCUGAAACCGUGUACGUACAAGCAGUGGGAGCACGCUUAGGCGUGUGACUGCGUACCUUUUGUAUAAUGGGUCAGCGACUUAUAUUCUGUAGCAAGGUUAACCGAAUAGGGGAGCCGAAGGGAAACCGAGUCUUAACUGGGCGUUAAGUUGCAGGGUAUAGACCCGAAACCCGGUGAUCUAGCCAUGGGCAGGUUGAAGGUUGGGUAACACUAACUGGAGGACCGAACCGACUAAUGUUGAAAAAUUAGCGGAUGACUUGUGGCUGGGGGUGAAAGGCCAAUCAAACCGGGAGAUAGCUGGUUCUCCCCGAAAGCUAUUUAGGUAGCGCCUCGUGAAUUCAUCUCCGGGGGUAGAGCACUGUUUCGGCAAGGGGGUCAUCCCGACUUACCAACCCGAUGCAAACUGCGAAUACCGGAGAAUGUUAUCACGGGAGACACACGGCGGGUGCUAACGUCCGUCGUGAAGAGGGAAACAACCCAGACCGCCAGCUAAGGUCCCAAAGUCAUGGUUAAGUGGGAAACGAUGUGGGAAGGCCCAGACAGCCAGGAUGUUGGCUUAGAAGCAGCCAUCAUUUAAAGAAAGCGUAAUAGCUCACUGGUCGAGUCGGCCUGCGCGGAAGAUGUAACGGGGCUAAACCAUGCACCGAAGCUGCGGCAGCGACGCUUAUGCGUUGUUGGGUAGGGGAGCGUUCUGUAAGCCUGUGAAGGUGUACUGUGAGGUAUGCUGGAGGUAUCAGAAGUGCGAAUGCUGACAUAAGUAACGAUAAAGCGGGUGAAAAGCCCGCUCGCCGGAAGACCAAGGGUUCCUGUCCAACGUUAAUCGGGGCAGGGUGAGUCGACCCCUAAGGCGAGGCCGAAAGGCGUAGUCGAUGGGAAACAGGUUAAUAUUCCUGUACUUGGUGUUACUGCGAAGGGGGGACGGAGAAGGCUAUGUUGGCCGGGCGACGGUUGUCCCGGUUUAAGCGUGUAGGCUGGUUUUCCAGGCAAAUCCGGAAAAUCAAGGCUGAGGCGUGAUGACGAGGCACUACGGUGCUGAAGCAACAAAUGCCCUGCUUCCAGGAAAAGCCUCUAAGCAUCAGGUAACAUCAAAUCGUACCCCAAACCGACACAGGUGGUCAGGUAGAGAAUACCAAGGCGCUUGAGAGAACUCGGGUGAAGGAACUAGGCAAAAUGGUGCCGUAACUUCGGGAGAAGGCACGCUGAUAUGUAGGUGAAGUCCCUCGCGGAUGGAGCUGAAAUCAGUCGAAGAUACCAGCUGGCUGCAACUGUUUAUUAAAAACACAGCACUGUGCAAACACGAAAGUGGACGUAUACGGUGUGACGCCUGCCCGGUGCCGGAAGGUUAAUUGAUGGGGUCAGCGCAAGCGAAGCUCUUGAUCGAAGCCCCGGUAAACGGCGGCCGUAACUAUAACGGUCCUAAGGUAGCGAAAUUCCUUGUCGGGUAAGUUCCGACCUGCACGAAUGGCGUAAUGAUGGCCAGGCUGUCUCCACCCGAGACUCAGUGAAAUUGAACUCGCUGUGAAGAUGCAGUGUACCCGCGGCAAGACGGAAAGACCCCGUGAACCUUUACUAUAGCUUGACACUGAACAUUGAGCCUUGAUGUGUAGGAUAGGUGGGAGGCUUUGAAGUGUGGACGCCAGUCUGCAUGGAGCCGACCUUGAAAUACCACCCUUUAAUGUUUGAUGUUCUAACGUUGACCCGUGAUCCGGGUUGCGGACAGUGUCUGGUGGGUAGUUUGACUGGGGCGGUCUCCUCCUAAAGAGUAACGGAGGAGCACGAAGGUUGGCUAAUCCUGGUCGGACAUCAGGAGGUUAGUGCAAUGGCAUAAGCCAGCUUGACUGCGAGCGUGACGGCGCGAGCAGGUGCGAAAGCAGGUCAUAGUGAUCCGGUGGUUCUGAAUGGAAGGGCCAUCGCUCAACGGAUAAAAGGUACUCCGGGGAUAACAGGCUGAUACCGCCCAAGAGUUCAUAUCGACGGCGGUGUUUGGCACCUCGAUGUCGGCUCAUCACAUCCUGGGGCUGAAGUAGGUCCCAAGGGUAUGGCUGUUCGCCAUUUAAAGUGGUACGCGAGCUGGGUUUAGAACGUCGUGAGACAGUUCGGUCCCUAUCUGCCGUGGGCGCUGGAGAACUGAGGGGGGCUGCUCCUAGUACGAGAGGACCGGAGUGGACGCAUCACUGGUGUUCGGGUUGUCAUGCCAAUGGCACUGCCCGGUAGCUAAAUGCGGAAGAGAUAAGUGCUGAAAGCAUCUAAGCACGAAACUUGCCCCGAGAUGAGUUCUCCCUGACUCCUUGAGAGUCCUGAAGGAACGUUGAAGACGACGACGUUGAUAGGCCGGGUGUGUAAGCGCAGCGAUGCGUUGAGCUAACCGGUACUAAUGAACCGUGAGGCUUAACCUUACAACGCCGAAG
rnacentral:rRNA from 1 species